AUGGCAUGCAUCUCUGCAGCAGCAUCACUUGUUGACAUCCUUUCUCUGGGCAAUUGCUUUGAGCAUAGGACACAAAGCUGGAUGAUGGCAGCCAAACAUUCCUUGGCUCUGGUUAUAUUUUCUGUAUUAGUGCUAUCUUUUGCUUCAUCAUGCAGCCAGAUGUUGGAGUCUGCUAUCUCCAUGACAUUCCCAGAUAGACCUGCUGCCUCUGCAAAGUAUUGCAGGGUUAACCCAUCUCUAAACAUAUCAUCUGUCGGGCACCUUCCAGUAAACAUCUCGAUCAAGGUGAUCCCAAGGCUGUACACAUCACCAUAA
rnacentral:rRNA from 1 species